UACAGAGGGUGCAAGCGUUGUUCGGAAUUAUUGGGCGUAAAGGGCGCGUAGGCGGUGCGUUAAGUCUGCGGUGAAAUCUCGCGGCUCAACUGGGAGUCUGCCGUGGAAACUGCCGUGCUUGAGUGUGGGAGAGGUGAGUGGAAUUCCCGGUGUAGCGGUGAAAUGCGUAGAUAUCAGGAGGAACACCGGUGGCGAAGGCGGAUCUCUGGGCCGAUACUGACGCUGAGGAGCGAAAGCGUGGGGAGCGAACAGG
rnacentral:rRNA from 1 species